rnacentral:lncRNA from 1 species
UGCUGGUCCAGAUGCACUUCCUACCCCUGUAGCCGGAGUUAAUCAAGAUUUGAUAGUUUCCUCAGAUACUUCUUACACUUGAUAUACCGUCAAAGAUCUUUUUGCCCAGCCGGGAUAAGAAGGUUUUGAUGUCUUGAACCCGAUCAGUAGCCAAAUACUUUUUUAAUUUUUAUACUUUACAUAAUUUGUUUUACAUAUAUCUAACUUGUGACUAUUAUUUACAAUAAUUAUACAUCUCUAGAAAUCCUCCAUCUUCUCACUAAAAGGCAAGAGAUUCCGAUCGUUUUUCUGGCCGACGACGGUGGGCUUACACAGACACGUCGUCGGUCGGGAUUUGCUGUUUGCUGUUGUUUUUUUGUCAAUACGUUUCGUGUUCUUGCUUCCGGCGUCGUACUUUUCUAUCGGUGGUCUGUCGCUUUUUAACUCCGACGUUGUACCUGUUCAUCAAAGGUGAACGGUCGGCUUAAGUCUCCGCGUCGAUUUUAUCACUCGGUCGACAGCGGCUCUGUGGUGAUUUUGAUGAUUGUGGUUGAUGGUUUGUUCGUCUUGGAGGAGAUCUCGAUCUAGGUCGAUUGAAGUUCUCCGGUGGUUUGAGAUCAGGCAAAGAAGGUGUUCGAGGUGUAGAUGAUUGAUCUGUAGUCGAUGGGUGUGGUGGUUUCAUGUUACGGAUGAGAUCUAGAGUUGUUUCGAUA